AAUUAUUUUAAUUUUUUAUAUUUUUGUAAAAGGGUCAAAGUAAAUACUUUGUCAAAAUUUUAUGAAAAUUAAACGAGCCAAAUUAAUUUUAGUGAAAGUGUUGGGUACCACCUUAAGUGAUAAACAACCCAAGAUUCAUUAUUUCUGUGGAUUCAUUUAUUUUCAUGGGUACAGAUUUUCGUGGAUAUUUGAUUUCAUUGUAUUGCCAAUCUCUGCAUUCAACUUAAGCCUAUAGAAAAUUUGUAAUCCGUUGAACAUUUAGAUUCUAAGCUCACUUGUUCCCACGAAACCCCAAAAAAUUAGUAUCUAACAAAUAAUAAUGAAUCCACAGUAUUGCAUCUCUGAAGGGAAAUCUUAAUAAACAUAAAUUGUUAAGUAAAAAAAUGAUGCUUUGAUAUACACAUGCUAUUUGAACAGCUUUACUUAAUUUGCAUCAAUGAAAAUGAAUUUGUAAAAUACUCUUUAAUUUAUUGUAUUUUUAUUAUGUAAUGACCAAGUGCUUUAUAUGUUAUGAAUAUUGAAUUGAUGAAAUGAUAAUGAAAGUGUUAUCUAAGAAAUAUUGCAUUUGUUAUACAAAUAGACUACUUUUAAAAAUACCAUUGAAAAAAUCAUUAUGAUGAUUUGAUUACAGUCAAGGGAAUGAAGUUUUUCCCCCCACUUUUUCUAAACGGAAGAUUGAACUUGGUACUCUUUUGUGUAUGUUUGAUUAUCAUAAUAUAUAAAUUCAUUAGUCUAUUUGCUGAUUAUUGUUUUAUUGCUGUAAUUCAACAAAUUGUUUCCCUUUGUCAAUUGCAGACUGGUUCUUUACUGGACAAAAAUGUAAAGCUCAAUAUAAAGUGAAAAGCAAUUACUGUUAUCAAAAGUUUUUUACUAUAACGGAGACAACUAAAGAUGGAUCUCUUAACUUAGAAUCAACUACAAAAUUGGGCAAACAGACAAUUGAUAUCACUAAAUUACUGACAAUUAAACAUUGUUAACAAUAAGAAAAUAUGACCAAAGCAUGCCAACACAUAGCCAAUAGUACAUGCAAUCUAUGUACAUUGAGCUGUGAUAGAAUAAUGAACUUGCAAUGAUAUUUUUAAAUUCAGUGUAAUUGUUGAUUUUUUUAUGGCAUUUUAUUUGUUUUUUUGUUUGUGUAAUAAUUUUUGAAACAAACAUGUUUUUAAUGAAUUAGUGUGACACAAGGUGUAUGGCUAGAUUGCACAUUGUUUUGGUGAUGAAAAUUUAGUUUUGGUAAAAUUGGGUAAUUUUUAAUAAUUAUAUUAUUGUUUUAAAUUUGUAUAUUGAUAAAUUUCCAUUUUACACUUGUUAAACAUAUCACUAAGUUUUAUUGGUCCUGGGUCCAUCUUUUCAUUAUUUGAUAAAAGUAAACAUUGCACCCUUAUUUCUAUGUGGUUAAGACUAAGAUGGUUGUUUAUAGUAGCUGGUUCUAUUUUUGUUUUUAAUAGAUGUACCGUUCUCUUCUUUUUUACGCUUCAAAUUUAGGUCUGUUUUUGGUAGUUUAUAUAGUAAAGGGAAACCUUGUCAAAUUAAUGAGUUUUAAAAGCUUUAAUAGAACAACAAAGGAUAGAUCUGGGGUAUCCAUUCCAAAACACAAAAUAUCACCAGCCCAGUAGUCAGCACUUUUGUGCUGACAUGAAUUAUCAUUGAUAUGGUUAUAUUUAUAAAUUAACUGUUUACAAAAUUUUGAAUUUUUGAAAUACUAAGGCUUUUAUACCUCAGGCAUAGAUUACCUUAGCUGUAUUUGGCAUAACUUUUAGGAAUUUUGGUCCUCAAUGCUCUUCAACUUCGUACGUUAUUUGGCCUUUUUAACUUUUUUGGAUUCGAGCGUCACUGAUGAGUCUUUUGUAGACGAAACGCGCUUCUGGCGUAUAUACAAAAUUUAGUCCUGGUCUCUAUGAUGAGUUUAUUUAGUACAUGCACAGCAAAAAAAAAACCACACAAAAAAGCAAAGGAACAGUGCUUUUAUUGUUUGUUUUCAUUUUGAGUAAAAGUUUAAUUUACUUUGGAAAAUAUCACCAACGUAUGUCUUCUAACCCUGAUAAAAAGUAAUAAACAGAAAGCAAUAUUUAAAC
rnacentral:lncRNA from 1 species